rnacentral:rRNA from 1 species
GACGAACGCUGGCGGCGUGCUUAACACAUGCAAGUCGAACGGAAAGGCCCUGCUUUUGUGGGGUGCUCGAGUGGCGAACGGGUGAGUAACACGUGAGUAACCUGCCCUUGACUUUGGGAUAACUGCAGGAAACGGGGGCUAAUACCGGAUAGGAGCUCCUGCUGGAUGGGGGGGGUUGGAAUGUUUCGUCGGUUGGGGAUGGACGCGCGGCUUGUCAGUUUGUUGGUGGGGUAGUGGCUUACCAGGGGUUUGGUGGGUAGCCGGCCUGAGUGGGUGACCGGCCACAUUGGGACUGAGAUACGGCCCAGCCUCCACCGGGAGGCAGCAGUGGGGAAUAUUGCCAAAUGGGCGGAACCCUGAUGCAGCAACGCCGCGUGCGGGAUGACGGCCUUCGGGUUGUAAACCGCUUUCGCCUGUGACGAGGCGUGAGUGACGGUAAUGGGUAAAGAAGCACCGGCUAACUACGUG